AAGCGGUGGAGCAUGUGGUUUAAUUCGAUGCAACGCGAAGAACCUUACCUGGUCUUGACAUCCACAGAACUUUGCAGAGAUGGUUUGGUGCCUUCGGGAACUGUGAGACAGGUGCUGCAUGGCUGUCGUCAGCUCGUGUUGUGAAAUGUUGGGUUAAGUCCCGCAACGAGCGCAACCCUUAUCCUUUGUUGCCAGCGGUUAGGCCGGGAACUCAAAGGAGACUGCCAGUGAUAAACUGGAGGAAGGUGGGGAUGACGUCAAGUCAUCAUGGCCCUUACGACCAGGGCUACACACGUGCUACAAUGGCGCAUACAAAGAGAAGCGACCUCGCGAGAGCAAGCGGACCUCAUAAAGUGCGUCGUAGUCCGGAUUGGAGUCUGCAACUCGACUCCAUGAAGUCGGAAUCGCUAGUAAUCGUAGAUCAGAAUGCUACGGUGAAUACGUUCCCGGGCCUUGUACACACCGCCCGUCACACCAUGGGAGUGGGUUGCAAAAGAAGUA
rnacentral:rRNA from 1 species